rnacentral:tRNA from 1 species
GUAAAUAUAGUUUAAUAAAAACACUAGAUUGUGAAUCUAGAAAUAGAGACUAAAAACUCUUAUUUACC